CCUACGGGAGGCAGCAGUGGGGAAUAUUGCACAAUGGGCGCAAGCCUGAUGCAGCCAUGCCGCGUGUGUGAAGAAGGCCUUCGGGUUGUAAAGCACUUUCAGCGGGGAGGAAGGCGUUAAGGUUAAUAACCUUGGCGAUUGACGUUACCCGCAGAAGAAGCACCGGCUAACUCCGUGCCAGCAGCCGCGGUAAUACGGAGGGUGCAAGCGUUAAUCGGAAUUACUGGGCGUAAAGCGCACGCAGGCGGUCUGUCAAGUCGGAUGUGAAAUCCCCGGGCUCAACCUGGGAACUGCAUUCGAAACUGGCAGGCUAGAGUCUUGUAGAGGGGGGUAGAAUCCCAGGUGUAGCGGUGAAAUGCGUAGAGAUCUGGAGGAAUACCGGUGGCGAAGGCGGCCCCCUGGACAAAGACUGACGCUCAGGUGCGAAAGCGUGGGGAGCAAACAGGAUUAGAUACCCUUGUAGUC
rnacentral:rRNA from 1 species